rnacentral:rRNA from 1 species
CCUACGGGGGGCAGCAGUCGAGAAUCAUUCACAAUGGGGGAAACCCUGAUGGUGCGACGCCGCGUGGGGGAAUGAAGGUCUUCGGAUUGUAAACCCCUGUCAUGUGGGAGCAAAUUAAAAAGAUAGUACCCCAAGAGGCAGAGACGGCUAACUCUGUGCCAGCAGCCGCGGUAAUACAGAGGUCUCAAGCGUUGUUCGGCAUCACUGGGCGUAAAGCGUGCGUAGGCUGUUUCGUACGUCGGGUGUGAAAGGCGCGGGCUCAACCCGCGGACGGCACAUGAUACUGCGAGACUAGAGUAAUGGAGGGGGAACCGGAAUUCUCGGUGUAGCAGUGAAAUGCGUAGAUAGCGAGAGGAACACUCGUGGCGAAGGCGGGUUCCUGGACAGUAACUGACGCUGAGGCACGAAGGCCAGGGGAGCGAAAGGGAUUAGAUACCCGUGUAGUC